rnacentral:misc_RNA from 1 species
AAGUCGUAACAAGGUUUCCGUAGGUGAACCUGCGGAAGGAUCAUUACUGAGUUCAUGCCCUAACGGGUAGAUCUCCACCCUUGAAUAUAAACUCUUGUUGCUUUGGCGGGCCGCUUCGGCUACUGGCUUCGGCUGGUGAGUGCCCGCCAGAGAACCCUAAACUUUGAAUUACAGUGUCGUCUGAGUACUAUAUAAUAGUUAAAACUUUCAACAACGGAUCUCUUGGUUCUG